AACGCUGGCGGCAGGCUUAACACAUGCAAGUCGAGCGGGGGAAGGUAGCUUGCUACCGGACCUAGCGGCGGACGGGUGAGUAAUGCUUAGGAAUCUGCCUAUUAGUGGGGGACAACAUCUCGAAAGGGAUGCUAAUACCGCAUACGUCCUACGGGAGGAAGCAGGGGAUCUUCGGACCUUGCGCUAAUAGAUGAGCCUAAGUCGGAUUAGCUAGUUGGUGGGGUAAAGGCCUACCAAGGCGACGAUCUGUAGCGGGUCUGAGAGGAUGAUCCGCCACACUGGGACUGAGACACGGCCCAGACUCCUACGGGAGGCAGCAGUGGGGAAUAUUGGACAAUGGGGGGAACCCUGAUCCAGCCAUGCCGCGUGUGUGAAGAAGGCCUUAUGGUUGUAAAGCACUUUAAGCGAGGAGGAGGCUACUUUAGUUAAUACCUAGAGAUAGUGGAC
rnacentral:rRNA from 1 species